GCUCUAAUUGGGUGAUAUGGUACUAUAAGGUCAUUAAGAUAAGAUGGGGCCUGAUUAUUCAAGACCUUGUAUGUGAGGAGCAGGAUUUUGAAUUCUGGAUUUAACAGGGAGCCAAUGAAGGUAUGGGGAUGUGGGGGAAAUUGGACCCAAACGCAGGACUUGGUGCAAGGAAAGCAGUGUGUUUAUUUACAGUGAGGCAAAUUUUACAUGACAAUAAAUCCCUGUGAGUUCCCUCGACUCCCGUGCUGUCUUCUUCCCAAAAAGUCCGUGCUCUCUGCUCCUGUGUCUCUGCACUCCCCGUGUGCAAAUUCCCUGCUGACUCGGCCUCAGGAUGGCUAGAGGCAAGAAUCAAGCGCACCCAAAUGAGCGCAUCAUUGAUCAUGUGCACAUCACGCAGAGGGAGAGUGGGAGUGAGAGACGAAAGGCGCAGUGACAGAGCAUGGCAGUUGUAACGCAGUUUGUGUGAUUCCGUGUGCGUUAAUGAAACUAAAACCAUGCUUAUAGUCACCAAUACUGCAUCUGCCACAAUUAUAAGUGCAUAUCUGGCUGUACCACAGUUGGAUUUAUCAUGGCAAGCCCUGCUGUAACCAGUUCUUCUGUGAAGUUUCAUUAAAGACAGUGAACUAAAAACUCCUGGACUGCUGCAGUCUUUCUGACCGAAGACUUAGGCCAGACUCGUAUACACCGCCCUUCCCGUAUAUAUAUUCUACACCCCGUGCUCACUGCUCUCUCUCGUCUCAUGCUCCUCCUGGGGGAAAUAAUAGAGGCAGCCAUCAAAACACUUAAUUCCUGCAGGCAUACACUCACUGAACUUUAAACUAUGCUAGAAGACUGACGUAGAGUCUCA